GACGAACGCUGGCGGCGUGCCUAAUACAUGCAAGUAGAACGCACAGUUUAUACCGUAGCUUGCUACACCAUAGACUGUGAGUUGCGAACGGGUGAGUAACGCGUAGGUAACCUGCCUGGUAGCGGGGGAUAACUAUUGGAAACGAUAGCUAAUACCGCAUAAUAUUAAUUAUUGCAUGAUAAUUAAUUGAAAGGUGCAAUUGCACCACUACCAGAUGGACCUGCGUUGUAUUAGCUAGUAGGGGAGGUAACGGCUCACCUAGGCGACGAUACAUAGCCGACCUGCGAGGGGAAUCGGCCACACUGGGACUGAGACACGGCCCAGACUCCUACGGGAGGCAGCAGUAGGGAAUCUUAGGCAAUGGAAGAAAGUCUGACCGAGCAACGCCGCGGGAGAGAAGAAGGUUGUCGGAUCGUAAAGCUCUGUUGUAAGAGAAGAACGGGUGUGAGAGUGGAAAGUUCACACUGUGACGGUAUCUUAACAGAAAGGGACGGCUAACUACGUG
rnacentral:rRNA from 1 species